rnacentral:rRNA from 1 species
GACGAACGCUGGCGGCGUGCUUAACACAUGCAAGUCGAACGGAAAGGCCCUGCUUUUGUGGGGUGCUCGAGUGGCGAACGGGUGAGUAACACGUGAGUAACCUGCCCUUGACUUUGGGAUAACUUCAGGAAACUGGGGCUAAUACCGGAUAGGAGCUCCUGCUGCAUGGUGGGGGUUGGAAAGUUUCGGCGGUUGGGGAUGGACUCGCGGCUUAUCAGCUUGUUGGUGGGGUAGUGGCUUACCAAGGCUUUGACGGGUAGCCGGCCUGAGAGGGUGACCGGCCACAUUGGGACUGAGAUACGGCCCAGACUCCUACGGGAGGCAGCAGUGGGGAAUAUUGCACAAUGGGCGGAAGACUGAUGCAGCAACGCCGCGUGCGGGAUGACGGCCUUCGGGUUGUAACCCGCUUUCGCCUGUGACGAAGCGUGAGUGACGGUAAUGGGUAAAGAAGCACCGGCUAACUACGUG